GCUUCAGAGAAUUCUGCAGCUGUUAUGGUGACUUGGCAAAAUCCUCCUGCCCGAAGACUGAUGGCUGGAAAGAAGCAAGGCCAGAAUAGUGAAAGCAACGCAGAAAGGACAAACAAAGCUGCUUUAUACCAGCUAAUGUUUGGAACCUUCACCACCCAUUUUCACCUGAAUAUUCAACCAGAGCUCUUCCAAGUGACUCCCUGUGGUUUCCAAAACCCACUGCAUGGAAGGGAUGGAGAAGUUAAUGUUUCUGCCAGUCCUGAAUUCUGGACACAUUGAGAAAAAAAAUGUCCUUUGCAGAUGCCUGGAAACCUCUGGACUUCAUUUCUUCAUAUCCUCUUCAACAGAACCUGAACAGUAGAACCAAAUUUCAGGAUUGAAGUUGCCUCUACUUCAGAAGAAGUUCCACCCAUAACUGAACAGACCAGAUUUUUGAAUGGGUUCACUUAAGAGAAAAAGCCUUUACUUUAAGGCCAAGACUUGGGAGCCCUAACCAGCACUCUGGAAAAAUCCCCCUCUGCCUCCUCCAAACCUCACUAGAUAUGGGUGACAUGACAGAAAGAAGCUUGUGGGCUUUUGUUUUUAGGUUGCUGCUGAAUCUAGACUGAAAAUUAAGCCAGAGAGGGGAAACUGAUGUCAGGCAAGGAUGGGCAACCAGGGCACUGGAGCUGCAAUCCUGCAAAACAGAGAAAGGUGUAUAAUGCAAUUUCAACAAACCUGCCUGGCAUCCCUGUCACAGCUACCAGGAGCAGUCCCAGUCAGCAAAAGGCUGUAAAGUAUGAAAUUUUCCUGUAAACUGGCAGAAUACUGUGGGCAAUAUUUCUUUCAUCUUCUCUAGCACAAGGCAGGAAGAAGCUCUUUUAUAAAGUCUCCUGGGUCAAAGCUGGAGCUUCUUGAGUUAGUUGUCUACCAUUUCACUCCCAGAAUUCAUUUCACUGGUCACUUUCCUCCAUCUUCUUUUCUGAUGGAACUCAGUUUCCACCUUCUGCAUUCAUGGAAUGAAAGUGUUGGAA